rnacentral:rRNA from 1 species
AGUGAACGCUGGCGGUAGGCCUAACACAUGCGAGUCGAACGGCAGCACAGGAGAGCUUGCUCUCUGGGUGGCGAGUGGCGGACGGGUGAGGAAUACAUCGGAAUCUGCCCAGUCGUGGGGGAUAACGUAGGGAAACUUACGCUAAUACCGCAUACGACCUUCGGGUGAAAGAGGGGGAUCGCAAGACCUCUCGCGAUUGGAUGAGCCGAUGUCGGAUUAGCUAGUUGGCGGGGUAAUGGCCCACCAAGGCGACGAUCCGUAGCUGGUCUGAGAGGAUGAUCAGCCACACUGGAACUGAGACACGGUCCAGACUCCUACGGGAGGCAGCAGUGGGGAAUAUUGGACAAUGGGCGCAAGCCUGAUCCAGCCAUACCGCGUGGGUGAAGAAGGCCUUCGGGUUGUAAAGCCCUUUUGUUGGGAAAGAAAUCUUUCAGGCUAAUACCCUGGGAGGAUGACGGUACCCAAAGAAUAAGCACCGGCUAACUUCGUG